AUGCACGCUGGCGGCGUGCCUAAUCCAUGCCGGUCGAGCGAACAGACGAGGAGCUUGCUCCUCUGACGUUAGCGGCGGACGGGUGAGUAACACGUGGAUAACCUACCUAUAAGACUGGGAUAACUUCGGGAAACCGGAGCUAAUACCGGAUAAUAUAUUGAACCGCAUGGUUCAAUAGUGAAAGACGGUUUUGCUGUCACUUAUAGAUGGAUCCGCGCCGCAUUAGCUAGUUGGUAAGGUAACGGCUUACCAAGGCAACGAUGCGUAGCCGACCUGAGAGGGUGAUCGGCCACACUGGAACUGAGACACGGUCCAGACUCCUACGGGAGGCAGCAGUAGGGAAUCUUCCGCAAUGGGCAAAAGCCUGACGGAGCAACGCCGCGUGAGUGAUGAAGGUCUUCGGAUCGUAAAACUCUGUUAUUAGGGAAGAACAAAUGUGUAAGUAACUAUGCACGUCUUGACGGUACCUAAUCAGAAAGCCACGGCUAACUACGUG
rnacentral:rRNA from 1 species